rfam:Triticum aestivum genome assembly, contig: Triticum_aestivum_CS42_TGACv1_scaffold_406531_5BL
UGUGUACUCCCUCCGUUCCAAAAUACUUGACUUCCAUUUGUCCAAAAAUGGAUGUACCUAUAUACUAAAACAUGUCUAGAUAGAUAUAUAUUUUGACAAAUAGAAGGCAUGUAUUUGUGUAACGGAGGGAGUAGAAU